rnacentral:rRNA from 1 species
GUGAGGAAUAUUGGACAAUGGGCGCAAGCCUGAUCCAGCCAUGCCGCGUGCAGGAAGACGCAUCUAUGGUGUGUAAACUGCUUUUGUACGGGAAGAAACACUCCCUCGUGAGGGAGCUUGACGGUACCGUAAGAAUAAGGAUCGGCUAACUCCGUGCCAGCAGCCGCGGUAAUACGGAGGAUCCAAGCGUUAUCCGGAAUCAUUGGGGUUAAAGGGUCCGUAGGCGGUUUAAUAAGUCAGUGGUGAAAGCCCAUUGCUCAACGAUGGAACGGCCAUUGAUACUGUUAGACUUGAAUUACAAGGAAGUAACUAGAAUAUGUAGUGUAGCGGUGAAAUGCUUAGAUAUUACAUGGAAUACCAAUUGCGAAGGCAGGUUACUACUUGUGGAUUGACGCUGAUGGACGAAAGCGUGGGGAGCGAACAGGAUUAGAAACCCUAGUAGUCC